AGGCACCACACACCUGGCAGAGGAUAUCACAGGCCCUGAGGCUGUCACAAGACAAGGUGCAGGCAGACCCAGCCAAGUAUAGCCAUACCCUGAAACCUCCUGCAUACGAAGGUGGGGCUCUCCUGACUUCAAUUUACCAAGUCUGUCCAGCCAGAAAAAAACAAAACAAAACAAAACAAACAAAAAAAAAAAACGGGUAAAGUCGUUCUCAGAGAGAGGAUGGCUAUAAAUAGCUAGGCAGGAUGUGGAAAAGGUGAGAGGCGAAUUGCUGCCAAGGUUGUAGGCCCAGCUGCAGAGCAGGGCUGAAGGUCCAGCCCUCAGCCUGCCCGGGCCUCCGCAGGCUCUGCUCCUCAGAUGAGAUGUGUGUUCCAGGCACUUCCUGGCCUCCCACUCUCUUCUCUGCCACACCCUGAGACUGCCUGAGGCUCCUAGGCCCCUUCACAUUGCAGCUAGGACCCUUGCACGGUGGCACAGGACUUUAAUCCCAGCACUCAGGAGGCAGAGACAGGAGUUCUAGGCCAGCUAGGUCUAUGGAGUGAGACCAUGUUGAAGAAACAAACUAUAAUUGGGAAUUCUCUAGUAAAUUUUCCCUGGAUAUGCCACAUCUGAGGGGACAUCCUGAAGGGGCUAACCAUGUAAGAGAACCCAUUGUGAAGUUUAGGGGAGGGUUCUGCCACACUGAAUAUGGCCAUAUCUUAGGGGUGGCAGGCUUGGGCUCCAGGGCAAGUGGCUUCAUCGUGGUUGGGUAGGACCAGGAGCUAAGGUCUGCAUAUAAAUCAGGGCCUGGCACAGGCGUGUGAACUGAGGUACUUGCUCUGCAGCUUCUCCAUCUAUCCACCUGUCAUUCAUUCAGCCAUCGUCAUCCAUCUUUUCCCAUUCACCCACCUGUCCGUCUGGGUACUCACUCAUUAUUUGUCCAUUUAAAACAUUUGCUCAGUACCUACUGUGUACCAGGUAUUCUCUCAGGCACACCCUGAGACGAUACAGUGAAUACCCUAGAAGUCUCCAUCUGGUACGUGAGAUAGACAGUUGGUUUUUUUAUUUGGUGGCUUUGGUUUUUUGAGGCAGGGUUUCUCUGUGUAGUCCUGUCUGUCCUGGAGCUUCCUCUGUAGAUCAGACUGGCCUCAAACUCAUAGAGAUCCACCUACAAAGUACAGAGAACAAAGGCAUAUGCUGUCCUGCCCAGCAUGACAGGCAGUUUUACAAAGGAACACGCUACACCACACAUGAACUGCUAAGUGAAAGAAGCCAAGCACAGCAGGACCACAGUGUAUUCCAUGCGCUAUAAUGAUGCCAUAAGGUUGGGUCACCGGAAUCAGACUGGUAGCGACAGAAGUAAAAUGGAGGGUACCAGGGGAGAGGCAAGGUGGGGAGUUCGUGUUUGAUGAGUGCAGAUCUGGUUUGAGAAAUGAAAAGGUUGCAGAGAUAGUGGGGAGGGCUGCAUAGUCAUGUUGAUAUCCUUAAGGCCACUGAACCAAGCACUUAAGCUAUUGGGAUAGCAAUCGUUAACCACCAUUUGGAAAGAAAAAACAUCAAAGAAGAGUAGAUCGUCUAUUAGGUAAGGUUGAUACAUGAGAACAAUGAGAAGGGUCAAGGGAAGGCCUUGACUCAGAGUUAACUAAGUGCUCAAGAAGGCCUGAGUAAUAUGUGCCUACACAGAGGCUCGCAGGAGGAGCUUGUGAGGUGCAAACCCCUGAGGGAAGAGGUGGGCCCCAGUCUGGACAGCAUGAAUAAGAGGCUGGGAGGCCACUGGGGAUUGAACUGCGGGAGGCAAGAUGUCCCUACAGGUUUGUGGUGGGUCCCCAGGUCCUGCUCCUACAGGAGCACGGGAAGCUGGGAGGCAAGGAAAGGCUUUGCAGGAAGAGGACAGGCCUGUCCUCAGCAGCACCUGCCCUUUCAGGAUAGAGCAACAGGGGUCAAGCUUGACAGCCGCCCCUCAGAGUGAGGCAUUGUUUGUACCUGAGUGCACCAUCCCUUUCUGUAGAAGGCAGUACUGCAUAUCCCUGUGAAUCUGCUCCUGGACACCUCAGCUCACCUCUCUACUUCAUUUGUGGUGCUGAACACUCUAGAACUGUGUGAGGAACUUCCACACUGCACCAUUCCCACCAAGAACUGCCCCACUGUACCAUUCAGGGAGUUAACAGCAAGCAAAGAUCUGCACAUGCUCAGUACAGACGCGGUUCUUUUUCCUCAAUAUUUUCCAUUUCAGGCUGUGGUUAGCUGACUCUCUGGAUGUGGAAACCACAGAGAUUGAGGCCACCUGUGCCUUGUGGCUGUGUUUAAAUUUGCCCUAUUCAUUGGCAUCUCCAUGGCCACCUUACUGUCAUCCCACACACACUAGGCAGGUUGCUGUGACGGGGGCCGGAGAGCAAUAGUGUACUCUGUUUCUCAUUUCUGCUGUCUUGACUUUGAGGCAAAUAGCUCUUUGCUUGGCCAGCACCGGAGGUCCCAGGAGAAUGAGCUUGUACAACCAACCCCCCGACACCACGGGCCUGGGACCAGCCUUGCUGGAUGAGCCCGGGAAAGCCACUUUAUCCUCUAUAAGUGUGUCCUUACGCAUCUCCUAAGGGAGAGGGUGGUUUCAGAGUGUGGUCUGGGUUACCACGAGACCCUCCAUGCACUGGGAGUCUGGAGCACAGUGGGGGACGGGGGCCAGUCUCCCUAAGUGCUGGACGCUCAACCUAGCCUGGAACCAAGGUUGCAUAACCACAUAGGGUUCUGCCGACGCACAGAGAUGAUAAGGAAGUUCCAAUCCCACAGCCCCUACCCAGGCAUUCUGGGAUGACAUCAGGAGUUGCUGGGGGAGACGGGCGAAGGGAGUGGUUCUAGAACAGGGCAGAGAGGAGGAUCCAGGCCUGAGGUUCAGACUCUUGUCAUUAUGGAGUCUAAGGAGCCUACUCCCCAGCUGCUACCCGUUUGGUUCCCUGAGAGCCCCACCACAUACCCUCUGUCCUUCUAGAUAGGCCUUGGCCCAGGCUGCAGUCAGAAGCCUCCCCCACAUCCCAGACAGCUCAGGUAAGUGGAGAGAGGAAAGGGAAAGAGAGAGGUCGAGGAGCUAGGCCAUUGGCUUCCUCUACCUUUAGAGCUGUCCUGUUCCUGGUGAUCAGCACAGCUCCAUGUAAGUCUUUAAUUUCAGUUGUAAAUAAAAGCAAAGCAGCAUUGUCCAUCAGCCCUAGGCACAGUGUGUGUGUCAGUGGCCGCCUAGGCCUAGCUGCACCUGGCCAGUAGAGGUGUAGAGGGCGGCCAUCCUCAUGGAGCGCCCGACUGGGCAGCAUUGGCCUUGCCUCUGAACAACCUGGGAGGUUGUAGCUAAAGGGGGAUACUCACCAGUUGUACGGCAGGGGCACUGGAACUCACUUCAUCUGUCCAGGAAGGUAUGGAGUGGGGGUCCCUCUAAACCCGCCUACCCAGCUGGCAGCUUCCCUGGGACAGAGGGGACUGAGGGCCACUUGGAGCCUUUUGUCUUUGUUCCCACAUCAGGCACAGGCGAACCUUGCUUAUCGGAAAGGCAGGUGGGUAACCAUUCAGUUUGGGGUCUCUGGGACUUGCAGCUUGUAGGUUAAAUGCCCAGAAUACUUCCUUAGGUCUUGGGGAGAGGAGUGAGAGGAGAACCCAAAUGCAGAAAUAACUCACACUUCCAUCCUGUGGCGAGUAGACGUGUACAACGAGGUCUGUCUAAUCAACAGAAUAUUAUUCUGCCGUGAAGGGAAUGAAGCAACCGACACAGGUUACUCCUUUGUGUGAACUUUGAGAAAGAACGUGAUAAGUGACAGAAGCCUGACCCAAAGGGCUGCAUGCACUUUGUAAUUCCGUUUCUAUGAAGCACCCAGAGCUAGCAUGUCUGGAUGCAGUAGACUAGUGGCGGUCAGGGCCUACCGAGAAGCAGUAACGAAACGGCUCCCCAUGCGUCUCCGUCUCCUUUCGGGGUUGGCUGACAGAUGAAGGUGGCAGUUGUACCACACCGUGGAUAGACUUCACGCCACUGAUUCACGCUCUCAAUCGAUAAAUACGGUAAAUUCUUUGUUCUAUUUUUUUUUUUAACAAUAGAAAAGGAAGAGGAAACAGAGAUCUGGGUAGUAAAUCUAUGUGUUCCUUAUAACAUCUUUCUGAUUUAUUCAUAUACUGGGAUAUUUUCAUAAUGAAUUGUUGGAGUGAGCCUAGGAAGAGAAAAUGUUUUCUUGACUGCAGGUUUCAGAGGCAAGGCAGGGUACAUGGUACCCUCAGAUGUUCCCUCAAGGAAAACAGGCCUGGGGGCACUGCUGUUGGCUCCAGGUUUUGUCCUAAGGUUUGCCAGCCAAGUACACAAGGGGAGGCAGGGCAUUGGAUGCUGCCCCAAUGCUUCCAACUGGAUCUGGAAGGACACAGCGUCCACAGCCUCAGCCUUCCCCAAGUCUGCCAGCAUCACGAUGCCCCAGAGCACAGCUUGGUAGAGAAAAUGGUCCUGUCUCAGUUUGUACGAAAGAAAUGAAAGCAUAGAGAUGUGACCAGACUGGCAAUGGCCCUGGAUCUCCGAAGGGAGAAAAAGACCCAGCCCAGGCUCCUGUCCUCCCCCAACCACCUCUGCAGCCAGAGACUGUGUGAGGCUGGGGGCAGAGCCAGCCCUGUAGUGGGGUUUGCACAGCAGUUGCAGUGAGGUUGGUAGUGUGCAGGUUGGUGGGAGAUGCAGCCCAGUGUGGGUCUGGUCCAGGGUGCCCAUGAUAGGGUCUCUUCUUUAACCAGCAGGUGCCCAGCAGCCUCCCAUCUUGGCUUCCUGCCUGGGUGGCUCUGGGCCACAGAAGCCUUCCUGUGGGUGGGCAUCCCCUCCUUCCUGAGGGUGGGAAAGUAUGACUCAGGGUUUGGUGGCUGAGUUUUAGAAACAGGAGGCAAGGAUAGAAAGGCAGUGCUUCUAAAAAGCCUGGGGAGGGGACCGACUGUCUUCCUGGGACUUUGACCUUGGGCUGCGAGUGAGCAGCGUGAGGUUAGAGGCGCAAAGAGGCAGGUCCAGGGUCCCAGCUAGGGUGGACGAGCAGCCUGUGCUAGGGUACCGUCCUGGGCUUUGCUUGCCCUCAGGGUGGCUGUAGCGGAGGGCUGUUUUUGCCCACCGUCCAGCCAUGCCCCACCCUGCCUCGGUGCGCAGGCCAAGGCCUGUUUGGGGAGGUUGCCACAGCAGAACUGUGGGAUUGGCUCUGCUGACGCCUUCCCCUGGCAUAUGGCUCCUCCGCCCGCCUCAAGCUCUGCCAGCGGCUCCCCUUUCUCCAUGGCAACUUAGCUCAGUGGUCCCAGUGGAGGAGAGAGAAUCAAUUCUCCCUCCUUCCCGCCCUCCCGCUCCACUCCCCACCCCUUCCUCUGCCGCUCUCCUUCUUCCUUGCCUCUGUUGUCCCUGCGUGGUGGUUCCUCACACAGCCAGGGGACUGUGUGCUGGCACUUGCAGGCAUGAGCUGCCUGUAGCUGCGGGCUGGCUGGGGACGGCUCUCUGAGACCUGCAUGUGGGAAGCCAGCAGAGUCUGCAGGAUGGGGCCGCUGAGCGGGGCUCCAGCCAGCACCUGCUGCGUGAGGCUCCUGCUCUGGUACUUUGGUGCCUCACUCCCCUUACCUCACGUUGGCUUCCUGAAAGGGUCUUCAGUGAACUCUG
rnacentral:sRNA from 1 species